rnacentral:tRNA from 1 species
GCGGAGAAGGACAGCUCGGCAGCUUACUUGGCUCACCAAGGGGUCGCCGGUUCAAGUUCGGCACCCGCA